rnacentral:rRNA from 1 species
AGGGUUUGAUCAUGGCUCAGAACGAACGCUGGCGGCAUGCCUAACACAUGCAAGUCGAACGAUCCCUUCGGGGAUAGUGGCGCACGGGUGCGUAACACGUGGGAACCUGCCCUUAGGUUCGGAAUAACUCCCCGAAAGGGGUGCUAAUACCGGAUAAUGUCUUCGGACCAAAGAUUUAUCGCCUUUGGAUGGGCCCGCGUUGGAUUAGCUAGUUGGUGGGGUAAAGGCCUACCAAGGCGACGAUCCAUAGCUGGUCUUAGAGGAUGAUCAGCCACACUGGGACUGAGACACGGCCCAGACUCCUACGGGAGGCAGCAGUGGGGAAUAUUGGACAAUGGGCGAAAGCCUGAUCCAGCAAUGCCGCGUGAGUGAUGAAGGCCCUAGGGUUGUAAAGCUCUUUUACCAGGGAUGAUAAUGACAGUACCUGGAGAAUAAGCUCCGGCUAACUCCGUGCCAGCAGCCGCGGUAAUACGGAGGGAGCUAGCGUUGUUCGGAUAUACUGGGCGUAAAGCGCACGUAGGCGGCGCCGCAAGUCAGGGGUGAAAUCCCGGAGCUCAACUCCGGAACUGCCUUUGAAACUGCAGUGCUAGAAUCCUGGAGAGGCGAGUGGAAUUCCGAGUGUAGAGGUGAAAUUCGUAGAUAUUCGGAAGAACACCAGUGGCGAAGGCGACUCGCUGGACAGGUAUUGACGCUGAGGUGCGAAAGCGUGGGGGAGCAAACAGGAUUAGAUACCCUGGUAGUCCACGCCGUAAACGAUGAUAACUAGCUGUCCGGGCUCAUGGAGUUUGGGUGGCGCAGCUAACGCAUUAAGUUAUCCGCCUGGGGAGUACGGUCG